AGGACAUCUGAGGUCAUGGGAAUCCCUAGCCGGUGGGUGGGGGAGGGACCAGGACGUGGAGUGGCCGAGGCUGUGAGAGGAGGAAGAUAGGCGUAUACCGGAUUCAGUGACUUAUGAUGAUGUGCAUGUGAACUUCACUAAAGAAGAGUGGGAUUUGCUGGAUCCUUCCCAGAUGAAUCUCUACAAAGACGUGAUGCUGGAGACCUACUGGAACCUCAUUGCUAUAGGCUACAAUUGGGAAGAUCAUCAUAUUGAAGAACAAUGUCAAAGUUCUAAAAGUCAUGAAAGG
rnacentral:lncRNA from 1 species